AUAACGUUUGGAUUUAAAUCUGAUUUGUAGUUUACUGCAUGACAUCAGUGGAUCAUUUUACAUAGUGCUGGUUGCUUGCCUGGCCAAUUAGGCUGUCUGCCUUAGGGUGUAUCCCUUCCUCCAGCCACCCUCGUCCUCUCCUUUGCGUCAUUUCUGGCACGCGUCAGACCUCUUGGAGACACUGGGAUCCCUUCCUAUGAUGCUAAGAGAACUGCAGUUUGGCAGCACAGAGGAAGUUCGGAAGAUCCGGAAGCAGAAGCAUGCCAGUGUUGCUCUCAGUUCUGCAAGGGAGAAAGCCACGCAUCUCCUGUUUGGUGCAACUAGCGGUGCCCACCACCAGGCCACGCCACUGGGAGACCUCGCGCAAGUCCACAGAGCACCAAGAGCUAACGGAGACCCAGAUGCUGCCGUUCCACCUCUGAGCCUCUCACUCUAUGCUUUGUUAGCUUCAGCACAGCAGACUUCAAAGGAGACAUUAUUUUAUUUGUUUGUAGUAGAGCUCAGAGUGAAACAUGGACAGGAAUAUGUUCUCCCUGGUUGCCGGUCAGAGCGAAGAUGCAAUAAGAAUACCAGUGUAACUUCUGAGAACAGCAUUCAGGGCCAUUUAAAUCAUAACAGCACUACUCAUUUCCCACCACAGAAUGUACCUGCUGUGAUCAUGCCUGAAAGCUCUCCUUGGAGGAAAAGCCAGUGA
rnacentral:lncRNA from 1 species